rnacentral:rRNA from 1 species
AUGAACGCUGGCGGCGUGUUUUAGGCAUGCAAGUCAAACGGGCAUGAGUAGCAAUACUUAUGUCAGUGGCAAACGGGUGCGUAACACAUUGGUAACCUACCUCUGUCUCAGGGAUAACUCCGCGAAAGCGGGGCUAAUAUCCGAUAGUCUUCUUCCGUGAAUGCGGAAGCAGUAAAGGCGCAAGCCGGACAGAGAGGGGCCUAUGGUCCAUCAGCUAGUUGGUGAGGUAAUGGCUCACCAAGGCAAUGACGGAUAGCGGGCGUGAGAGCGCGACCCGCCUCAGUGGAACUGAGACACUGUCCACACUCCUACGGGAGGCUGCAGUCAAGAAUCUUCCCCAAUGGACGAAAGUCUGAGGGAGCGACGCCGCGUGCAGGAAGAAACCCCUCGGGGCGUAAACUGCUUUUCUUUGGGACGAACAAUGACGGUACCAGAGGAAUAAGGGGCUGCUAACUUCGU